UAUUCAAAAUCUGUGGGCCUGUGUGUUUUGAAUGUUUGAGGAGAACAAGAUAUUUUUCAUGCCAGCUGUCUGCUCGUGUUUUCCCUAAAGCUACGGCAGCGAAACAACAAACCCGAGGCCUGCAAAGAGGCUGUCUGCCAGUAGUGCGACGAGACCGCUCCAAAGCCAGGCAUUUGUGUUCAUUAGCACCCGGAUCAACAGACUAUCUGGGCUGUUUGGAGAUCAAGAUCAAAUGUAAUUACCUCCUGGCACAAGGACCCCAAUUUUCGACGUGUUUGGAGUAUUUUAUUCAAUAAAGCAGCCUAAUUAGAGUUCUACUUUUUUGUUCAUUUUGUUUUCUUUUUCUGCCUUUGUCAUUACAUUUGCACAAGAACCUGAUAGUUCCAAUAUGAACCGUGACCUAGAAAAAUAGUACUUUACGCAUUCUUUCUUUUUUUUUUUUUUUUCACCUGUGAAAAACAAGUAACUGCUCUAAAUGAAAUUCAAAUACAUUUUGUUAGUUGUUUUUUAAUCUCUGCAAAUGUUACUUUCACUUUAGCCUUAAAAAAUAUUUUUUAUCAAUUAUUUUUAAUUGACAAAACCAGUGGUAACGUGUGAACGUUUUAAAUUCUAGUGAGGAUACAAAUAAUUGUGUCCCAUAUGCAAGAAAAGAAAUAUAUAUAUUUAAAUUUUUCUUUAUUAUCCCAAAAUGAAAUAAAUAAAGAAAACUACACAGCAACUGUAAGUGAUACAAACUAUAAUAUAAUAAUAAUAAUAGUAAAAAUAGCAACAAGCCUUCACACGUCGACAUGAGGUUGAAUUACACUGUAGCCAAACAAAUUGGCUGACCCACACAGAAAACGCUGUAUAAAACAAAGUUCAUUCAUGCAAGAAUAAAGUAAACACGAUUCAUGAAUCAAUGCACCAUCAAUAAACAAAUGUCAAACAAUAAACACGCUUCACGCCUGACAGUAAAAACUGCUCAUGUUCGCAAAAAAAAAAAGGAAACACGAAUACAUGAUUUUUUUCCGUGUGACUUGGGCAGCAGUCCCCUCAGAAACAGCAGCAGCAGCAACAGCAGUAUAUGGGCGCUUUCGGGACACAUUAUUGAUUGGCAUUCCCAGGAGAAAGAACCAGUCAGCAGCAGCAGCAGCAGCCCCGGUGGCCCAGGCAUAAAAAAGGGAAAUAUCUUCAGCGAUUUCAAAUAAGCGUGCAUUUCAAAUCUCGCUUGCUUUCUUUCUCGCUCAUAUUCGCAUCUCGGCGUCCCCCAGGUUGUUUUGCAGGGGCAAAAAGAGUGCGUCCAGAGCGGCGUGAGCUGUACAAGCAGCUCGCAGCAGAGUGGUGCUACAGCGCCCACUACAUUUCAUUUACACCAGACUUGGAACGACUCUAUAUAAAAAGUUACUAUGCGAUUCAACAACUUUCUUUGAGAAAAAAAGGAAAGAUUUGCGCCUGUGUAGAACCGACCGACAACAGAACUGGGUUGAAAUAGGGGAGAAAAUAAGAUCUGACCGACAGUGUUUAUAACAGCUUUUAAAGAAGUGUGAUCAACUAAAAAGCACCGGCGGCGUUUCUCAUCACGCGUGAAACUUUGUGGACGCAGAGAUCAGCGAAACCAGGAGCGCAGCAGGCUGAGAGACAAGACCGAGCAGCCAAAAACUGAGAGGAAAAGUUAUCUGCGGACAAAAGAGUCUCCCGUGCUCUUUUUAGGGCUGUUUUGCAAUUGACAAGGACAUAUUGGACCGGGACAAAGCCGGGGGAGUUUGGAAGCCGGCGGCUGGAAGAACUAAGAAAUAGGACGUCAAUUAAAAAAAAAAAAAAAAAAAAAAAAACAACAGACAAACAGAAGAAGACCUACUUUUUGCCAGUUUUCUCGCCCUCGCCUUGGAUCUCAUCUUGUCGGCUUGUAGAUUCCUUUCGUCGUCCUCCGUGAGCCCAGAAGCAGCAACAACACUAUCUUCAUCUCACCAGCAUUAUCACUUAUCUCUUCCCCUCCUCCUCCUCCUCUUCCUCCUCCUCCUGCUCACUCUUCACCAUUUCCCCCCACCGCCACCCCCAUGCCACCCCCUUCACUCUCUUUCCACUUCUCACCCAUGCACCCCCCUGCCCCAUCCGUCCCAUUCAGCUCCUGCCAGCGCCGUCCUGGAUUUUUACCCCUUUAAACAGAGGCUGCUUGGUUUUCUGCAGCGCAGCGGCGGGACGCACUGAGAUUUAAAGAAACUCGCCGGCUCAGCUGAUGCGUCAUGUCAGAGCUUGCGCCAAAAAGCGCACAGAUUCCAGGCGUUUUUUUUACUUCAUUAUCGCACAUGUGGACGAUAAAAGGAGUUGGGCUCGGUUGCUCUAACAACUUUACAGGUGUGUGUAAACCGUGUUGCUCUCAGGACAAGCAGGAGCCAGCAGCUGUUUGAAGGAGGCAUGGACCCUCCACCAGCACCAGGAAAAAGUCCUGACUUUCUCAUUUUUGCACAGCUUUUUCCCAUUUGUUACAAUUGUAUUUGAAUCACUUGUUUUCUUGCAGUACUGUUGGCGCAUGUUGUGAGAGCGCGGAGGCGCACCUGGAAGACGGUGGACAGGCUGCAGCCUCAGCUUUGCUCAACUGCGACUUUUAACUUGCACCUGUUUGUUGCUUUGUUUGUUUGUUUACUACAGGCAGAAGGAGCUAAUUUUUUAGUUGGUCUGCGGGUUUCUGAGUGAUAGAUUGAAGAUCAACAAGGCUGCUCGUCAUGUGGUGCCGGGCCUCCUGCCCACAUGUCAUAUGGGAAUGGUUUCCGUCUAGUUUGGCUGAAUAAAGGCGGCUCUAUAUGCUGGAGCCUAUUAAGGAUCGGUGGUGACGGAGCAACUGCAGUCUGAUGGGACAGCGGUGCGGAUCAGUUUGCUUGGAGGAAAAACAACUCAUACCUCGUUUUGAUCGAAUUCAUAAUCAUUCAAACUAUUUUUUUUUUCAUUAUUAUUAAUAAUAAUAAUAAGGCGGUAGUACAAUUUAUUUGUUUAUUUAUGUAUACCUGCUUCUUUAUAAUUACGAUGCCCAUCAUGAAAUAACUGAUUUGAAUAAAUGUCUCCAGCUUCAAUCUCCCGUUACUGGACAACAAUCGCCGUUGGAUGUUUUCUUGUGAGUUGAAGUGAAACGAAAGCCCGAUUGUUAAUCAAUAAUAAUCAGCAGUAAUUAGCCUGUAUUUGAUGGAUAUUUGGAAAGAUGGUCUUGCAUCCCUAUAAGGAGGAUGAGGAGGAGGAGUGGUGAGGGUGGGGGUAUUUUAUUGACUUGGCGGAGGGAGGCGGCUGAAAAAAACGUUUUUACCUGUUGUGCGGACGGGGUACAGUACAGGGGUGACCAGCUUGUUAUUUUGAAUAAUUUAUUUGUCAACCUUCGUGUGAAUAGGGAUCAUUAAUUCUGUUUAAAGACAAAAUGGCUGCGCAGAUAAAAAGGCUCAGGACUGCUAGUCGAUAGACAGUUAAUAAAUGAAGCUAGAUUAAUAACAUUGGUCUGCAAAGGUUUUGUUUGUUCCUUUCUGUGUCUAGAAGCGUGGCGACAAGCUAUCAAUAAACCCAUUAAAUGACUGACUUUAUUAGUACCUUAAAAGAAAAGAGAGAGAAAUGGGCAUUAAAUAGAACUUUUUUUUUCCUGUUUGAAUUAUUUCCAUCAACCGGCCUGAUACCGCUGAGGCCUCUAAAUAUUUCCUGAACCUCAUUGGUUGUGGCAAAUGAUUCCGCACGCUGCAACACCUUUUUACAGGCGUAAUUAACCGCAAUUAGACUAUGCAAAGGAAAGUCUUGCUAUCCGACGCUGGCCUACAGGGGAAUUAGCUAUAGUAUUCCUAAAUGCCGACCUUUAGAAAGGAGAUUUGGUGAGGCUGCAUAGAGAAAACCUCUUGUUUUGUCUUGGAGUCCGGAAUGAACUGCGCCGCUGGCUCCUUCCCAGAAAGAGAGAUGGAGAGGUGCGCGCUUCUUCUGCGCAGGGCCCCCACUUAUUGUUAUUAAGCCCUUUAAUUAGACUAAACAGGAGCAGACCAAAUUCAUUAUCACCUGAAAGGGAUAACAUGCAGAAGAAAGCAAUAGUCGGACGUAAAUGUGUAGUUGAUUCCAGAUUUAACAUUUGUUUGGUUGUUUUACCUGCUGUCAGUGGCGCCACCAAGGGGGGACUGGGGGUGGUCAGUUUUGUGCAAGUGUUUUAUAUAAUUAUUAAGUUGACUGAGGAUAAUUUAUUUUGUAUGUAACUUUUGCCCUGCUUUACCUGUGACGUUUGAUCGUCCAACCCCAACAGCCGGUGAGAUUAUCAGUGGCCCCCGUUGAGGCCAGCCUUUUGAUACAUUUUUGGAGGUGCCCCUGCACCGUUGGUUUAAUCACCUUUAAGCAUUGUUUGGAGCUUGUGUCAAUAUGUUGUCCCGGAGGGUACUAUUAUUGGUCCUUUAAAAACAUCUCUCGAGUCUUUUAGACUGUAAAGGACACAUUUACAUUAAUACUUUUCAGUUCCUAAAUGAUUUUGAUCAAGCAAAUAUGUUCUUAGCUGAAUAGAAAGACUUAUAUUUUCGAAGAACAGAAAAUAGGGUUGUGCAUCAUGUUGCAUCAGUGUCGUAGUUCUAGCUUCCAUGUUGUCUUUGGCUGUUUACUAAAUAAAUAAGGGGUAGGCCACCAAUGGCAUAACCAGGAGUAUGUAAAUUGCUCUAAAAGUUAAGGUAUAAUCUAAAUAAAACUAUUUGUUCAUGAUUUCAAGAACAAUACCUAAAAUCAGCUAGUUCUAUAUGUUAGAAAAUAUUUUUUUCUUUUUCACUUGAGGUAUUGUCUGUUGAUUUUAAAAUAUGGUAGCUCUCAUGAAGUGAUGGUAUCAUUUGGCGAGUAAUAUCUGAAAAACAGUACACAAAAAAGGAGGCACAUUAAGUUAAAUAAACAAAUGGAAAACAUGUCUAGGGGUGGCUAGUGCCCUUACCGGGUUCCCUUUUGAGUCACCACUGCUUAGUCACCCUUACAAAAAAAGUAUUAACAAAAAUAUGCAGAAAAAAACAGUACUGUGAAGAACAACCAAAUGAUAAUUAAAUGAAUCAACAAAUAAUAUAAUUGGUGCUAUGAGAUGGUUUUUUUUUCUCUUCAAAAUCCACAAGAAAUAUUAUGUAUAAAUAAGACGCCACGAAGUCAUAGGGGUGGCCCAACAGCCAACAUAUUUUACAGGAAAUUCCACAGUUCUACUAUGAAUAUGGAUAGAAACACAACACACAGUGACCGUUUAUUUAUUUAUUUUACAGAUGAGGAUGAAGUAAAAAUGCUGACUUCAAAACCUAAUACCUUUUAAUCUUUAUGUGUGUGCACUGCUGGUUGCUGAGGCGGUGCUAAAGGAGUUUCUGACACUGUGAACCGGUGUGGUCGGACUGUGGUGACUCUACCUCCCUCUUCUCCACCACACACACAAACAUAUGCCCAAAGGUCGCUGAAACACAAGCUUUAUCCGCGAUGGAGAGGGCUCUGGGUCUGUGGAUUAGACGUUGUGCACAGAUAGCAUCAGCGCAUAUCAGAAAUGUGAAAUGGAGCACCUCGAGUUGCGCCGCGGGGAAACAUCAAAAAGGCGCAGCGGGCCUUUCUUGUGGGCACGUUGAGCAUUGUAAAUUUGCUAACUGUAGUUCUGACCCACUUGAUGAAACGGGGGAGUAAACACAGUCACUAUAGCUGGAAGAAGGCGCUUGGACUAAAAAUAUAAUGCCAUCGGCUGCAGAAUCACCUACCUCAGCCGCCUAAUACAUGACAAAAAAGUGAUGUUUUUGUCAAAGAUUGAUCAACAGAAAUUCAUCAGAUUCCAGCAGCUCAUCAAUCACAAAAUCCAUUUUUCCCCAAAGUCUCAGGAGGAGCCUUUUGCAGCGGGCCGCUGCCUCCUUCUCCUUUAAUGAAGCAGCGCCAAGGAGCGGUCACGAUGAAGUCGCCCUGGUAAUUAUUACACAUUAAUUGGGUUCAGGACCUUGUGAGUCUAUGGGAAAUGGGAAAUCUGACCGCUAAUCCAAGACAUUUCUUUAGGGCCUUUUUGCAGUGCUGUUAACAUGCUGUCAGAAGCUGCAGCUCUGCAGCUACCGAGAGCAGGGAAAUGUGGGGGUCACAGGGGAGCCAGUGUACAGACACCGAAACUGCAGGCUUGAGAUUCAGGAACGUUUCCACCAAAGCGUUUUACACCUGAGAGUGCAUGGGUCAGAUAUCUCAUGUGUCUUGAUGAUUCAUGAAAAAAUAGAUAAGUAGAAUUAAUUGUGUAGAAAAGGAAUUUAUGUAAAUGACGAAGAAUGUAUACCAAAAGGCAUCAAUUCAAUCAGGAUGCAACCAGAAAUAUGAUCCAGUUUGUUUUUUAAUAAAAAUUUAAAAAACA